UACAGAGGGUGCGAGCGUUGUUCGGAAUUACUGGGCGUAAAGGGCGCGUAGGCGGCGACCCAAGUCAGAUGUGAAAGUCCUGGGCUUAACCUGGGGACUGCAUUUGAUACUGGGUUGCUUGAAUUCGGGAGAGGAUAGCGGAAUUCCCAGUGUAGAGGUGAAAUUCGUAGAUAUUGGGAAGAACACCGGUGGCGAAGGCGGCAACCUGGUCCUUUACUGACGCUGAGGAGCGAAAGCGUGGGGAGCGAACAGG
rnacentral:rRNA from 1 species